UACGUAGGGUCCAAGCGUUGUUCGGAUUUACUGGGCGUAAAGGGCGCGUAGGCGGCGUGGUAAGUCAGCUGUGAAAUCUCCGAGCUUAACUCGGAACGGUCAGCUGAUACUGCUGUGCUAGAGUACAGAAGGGGCAAUCGGAAUUCUUGGUGUAGCGGUGAAAUGCGUAGAUAUCAAGAGGAACACCUGAGGUGAAGACGGGUUGCUGGGCUGAUACUGACGCUGAGGCGCGAAAGCUAGGGUAGCAAACGGG
rnacentral:rRNA from 1 species